GAUCGGCCCGCGUCUGAUUAGCUAGUUGGUGGGGUAAUGGCCCACCAAGGCGACAAUCAGUAGCUGGUCUGAGAGGAUGAUCAGCCACAUUGGGACUGAGACACGGCCCAAACUCCUACGGGAGGCAGCAGUGGGGAAUAUUGGACAAUGGGCGCAAGCCAGAUCCAGCCAUGCCGCGUGAGUGAUGAAGGCCCUAGGGUUGUAAAGCUCUUUUGUGCGGGAAGAUAAUGACGGUACCGCAAGAAUAAGCCCCGGCUAACUUCGUGCCAGCAGCCGCGGUAAUACAAAGGGGGCUAGCGUUGCUCGGAAUCACUGGGCGUAAAGGGUGCGUAGGCGGGUCUUUAAGUCAGGGGUGAAAUCCUGGAGCUCAACUCCAGAACUGCCUUUGAUACUGAAGAUCUUGAGUUCGGGAGAGGUGAGUGGAACUGCGAGUGUAGAGGUGAAAUUCGUAGAUAUUCGCAAGAACACCAGUGGCGAAGGCGGCUCACUGGCCCGAUACUGACGCUGAGGCACGAAAGCGUGGGGAGCAAACAGGAUUAGAUACCCUGGUAGUCCACGCCCGUAAACGAUGAAUGCCAGCCGUUAGUGGGUUUACUCACUAGUGGCGCAGCUAACGCUUUUAACAUUCCGCCUGGGGAGU
rnacentral:rRNA from 1 species